GUACACAAAAAUGCACAUAUUGUGAGCUCGAUGAGUAGGGCGGGACACGUGGUAUCCUGUCUGAAUAUGGGGGGACCAUCCUCCAAGGCUAAAUACUCCUGACUGACCGAUAGUGAACCAGUACCGUGAGGGAAAGGCGAAAAGAACCCCGGCGAGGGGAGUGAAAAAGAACCUGAAACCGUGUACGUACAAGCAGUGGGAGCCUCUUUAUGGGGUGACUGCGUACCUUUUGUAUAAUGGGUCAGCGACUUAUAUUCUGUAGCAAGGUUAACCGAAUAGGGGAGCCGAAGGGAAACCGAGUCUUAACUGGGCGUUAAGUUGCAGGGUAUAGACCCGAAACCCGGUGAUCUAGCCAUGGGCAGGUUGAAGGUUGGGUAACACUAACUGGAGGACCGAACCGACUAAUGUUGAAAAAUUAGCGGAUGACUUGUGGCUGGGGGUGAAAGGCCAAUCAAACCGGGAGAUAGCUGGUUCUCCCCGAAAGCUAUUUAGGUAGCGCCUCGUGAAUUCAUCUCCGGGGGUAGAGCACUGUUUCGGCAAGGGGGUCAUCCCGACUUACCAACCCGAUGCAAACUGCGAAUACCGGAGAAUGUUAUCACGGGAGACACACGGCGGGUGCUAACGUCCGUCGUGAAGAGGGAAACAACCCAGACCGCCAGCUAAGGUCCCAAAGUCAUGGUUAAGUGGGAAACGAUGUGGGAAGGCCCAGACAGCCAGGAUGUUGGCUUAGAAGCAGCCAUCAUUUAAAGAAAGCGUAAUAGCUCACUGGUCGAGUCGGCCUGCGCGGAAGAUGUAACGGGGCUAAACCAUGCACCGAAGCUGCGGCAGCGACACUAUGUGUUGUUGGGUAGGGGAGCGUUCUGUAAGCCUGUGAAGGUGGCCUGUGAGGGUUGCUGGAGGUAUCAGAAGUGCGAAUGCUGACAUAAGUAACGAUAAAGCGGGUGAAAAGCCCGCUCGCCGGAAGACCAAGGGUUCCUGUCCAACGUUAAUCGGGGCAGGGUGAGUCGACCCCUAAGGCGAGGCCGAAAGGCGUAGUCGAUGGGAAACAGGUUAAUAUUCCUGUACUUGGUGUUACUGCGAAGGGGGGACGGAGAAGGCUAUGUUGGCCGGGCGACGGUUGUCCCGGUUUAAGCGUGUAGGCUGGUUUUCCAGGCAAAUCCGGAAAACCAAGGCUGAGGCGUGAUGACGAGGCACUACGGUGCUGAAGCGACAAAUGCCCUGCUUCCAGGAAAAGCCUCUAAGCAUCAGGUAACAUCAAAUCGUACCCCAAACCGACACAGGUGGUCAGGUAGAGAAUACCAAGGCGCUUGAGAGAACUCGGGUGAAGGAACUAGGCAAAAUGGUGCCGUAACUUCGGGAGAAGGCACGCUGAUAUGUAGGUGAAGCGACUUGCUCGUGGAGCUGAAAUCAGUCGAAGAUACCAGCUGGCUGCAACUGUUUAUUAAAAACACAGCACUGUGCAAACACGAAAGUGGACGUAUACGGUGUGACGCCUGCCCGGUGCCGGAAGGUUAAUUGAUGGGGUUAGCGGUAACGCGAAGCUCUUGAUCGAAGCCCCGGUAAACGGCGGCCGUAACUAUAACGGUCCUAAGGUAGCGAAAUUCCUUGUCGGGUAAGUUCCGACCUGCACGAAUGGCGUAAUGAUGGCCAGGCUGUCUCCACCCGAGACUCAGUGAAAUUGAACUCGCUGUGAAGAUGCAGUGUACCCGCGGCAAGACGGAAAGACCCCGUGAACCUUUACUAUAGCUUGACACUGAACAUUGAGCCUUGAUGUGUAGGAUAGGUGGGAGGCUUUGAAGUGUGGACGCCAGUCUGCAUGGAGCCGACCUUGAAAUACCACCCUUUAAUGUUUGAUGUUCUAACGUUGGCCCGUAAUCCGGGUUGCGGACAGUGUCUGGUGGGUAGUUUGACUGGGGCGGUCUCCUCCUAAAGAGUAACGGAGGAGCACGAAGGUUGGCUAA
rnacentral:rRNA from 1 species